rnacentral:rRNA from 1 species
CAGCCGCCGCGGUAAUACGUAGGGUGCAAGCGUUGUCCGGAAUUAUUGGGCGUAAAGAGCUCGUAGGCGGUUUGUCGCGUCUGCUGUGAAAACGCGAGGCUCAACCUCGCGCCUGCAGUGGGUACGGGCAGACUAGAGUGUGGUAGGGGAGAUUGGAAUUCCUGGUGUAGCGGUGAAAUGCGUAGAUAUCGGAAGGAACACCUGUGGCGAAAGCGGCUCACUGGACAAUAACUGACGCUGAUGCACGAAAGCUAGGGGAGCAAACAGGAUUAGAUACCCCCGUAGUCCCUGUCUCUUAUAC